rnacentral:lncRNA from 1 species
GUUCUUGAAACUGUAAAUUUGGAGGAAGAUCAAAUUACAGAUAGAAUCGAAACAGAGAGAUCUGAACAUAUCGAGAUUGGGAAAAUUGCCCACGGGGAAGCUGAGUCUAUAGAUCUUGUUGAUAUGGGUGUUUCUCCUAAGAAACCUAGAGCUGCAAUUGCUGGAGUAGCUGACUUAGGAAAAAGCUUGAAGAGUAAAAGAAAUAUGCAAAUUUCGAAGGGGAAAAAAGGAAAUAAGGUAGUAGUAGCUGCCUAUGGAAGUUUACCAUCUAGCUCUAAAGCAUGAAUUGUUUUAAGUGGAAUGUCAGAGGGCUUAAUAAACCUCUGAAGCAACAUGCAGCGUAUAAUAGAAUAAAAGAUAACAGGGCUAGGGUUGUUUGUUUGAUUGAAACUAGCGUAAAGCAUAAUAAGAUGAGGGCCAUUCUUGAAAAAUGGUUCAAUGGUUGGAAGUCUUUUCACAAUUAUGUUGAAGCUGAUAAUGGGAGGAUCUGGGUUCUAUGGAAAGACUAUCUUCAAUUGUCUUUGAUGUGUACUACUGAUCAAAGCAUCACAGUCAGUUUUAGUGCUGAUAAUUACCUUCUUUUCUUGACUGCCAUUUAUGGGAGGAAUACGGGUAGUGAGAGGAAAAGGCUUUGGAAGCAUUCGCAAGGAUUGCAUCAACUGGUGGCAGAUCAUUCAUGGAUCCUUGUUGGCGACUUUAAUGUCAUAGCAAGCUAUUUUGAAUGCUCUGAUUUCAGGGUACCUUUAACCUGACUCUGGUUGUUUUGGUCCCAAAGUAGCAGAAUGCUAGCAGCAUUAAGGAUUACAGACCUAUUUCGUGUUGCAUUGUUUUCUAUAAAUGCAUCACUAAGGUAUUGGGUAUGAGGCUCACCAAAUUUCUUCCUAGUAGCAUUCCUAGAAACCAAAGUGCUUUUGUUCUUGGGAGGAGCAUUAGUGACAAUAUUCUACUGGCCCAACAGCUUGUUAGGGGUUAUAAUAGAUGCACCUUGUCACCUAGAUUUACUUUGAAAAUUGAUCUCCAAAAAGCCUUUGACUCUCUUAAUUGGCAGUUUAUUCUUGCUGCUUUGGCUACUUUGGGAUUCCCUAGUCAAUUUGUUAGUUCGAUAGAGAAGUGCAUCACUAAGCCUCGAUUUUCAAUUUCGGUAAAUGGGGUUUUGAUUGGCAAAAUUAGAGGUGCUAGGGGUGUAGGACAAGGGGUUCCACUUUCCCCUUACCUUUUUGUGGUUGCCAUGCAUGUUCUGUCAAAAUUACUUGAUCUUGCUGCAUUUUCUGGGUUGUUUAGCUACCAUUCAAAAUGCCAUAAGCUUAGGUUGACUCAUUUAAGCUUUCCUGAUGACUUACUAAUUUUCACUAAAGGAAAUUUGGAGACAGAAGUGGGAAUACAAUGUGUUUUGCAGCAGAUUUAUUUCUUCUCAGGCCUACAAUUAAAUCCUGCCAAGAGUGAGAUUUUUUUUCUUCAGGAAUCUCAGAAGAGGAUCUUCAACAUAUCUGCAGUCUUACUGGGUUU